rnacentral:rRNA from 1 species
CAGUCGAACGGUAGCAGGUUCUCACUGUUUACUGCUCGCCCUUGAGGAAGGAGUAGGAAUUUUUCAAAGCAAAAUUCCGUAUUCUAUAUCGAGGGAUGAUACAAGGUUUAGCCAAUGCUAAGACAAUGUAUGCGAGAAGUAAAGAGUGAGAAUGCUGACGAGCGGCGGACGGCUGAGUAACGCGUGGGAACGUGCCCCAAAGUGAGGAAUAACGCACCGAAAGGUGUGCUAAUGCCGCAUAUGAUCUUCGGAUUAAAGCUUUAUGCGCUUUGGGAGCGGCCCGCGUCGGAUUAGGUUGUUGGUGAGGUAAUGGCUCACCAAGCCGACGAUCCGUAGCUGGUCUGAGAGGAUGAUCAGCCAGACUGGAACUGAGACACGGUCCAGACUCCUACGGGAGGCAGCAGUGAGGAAUCUUCCACAAUGGGGGCAACCCUGAUGGAGCAACGCCGCGUGCAGGAUGAAGGCCUUCGGGUUGUAAACUGCUUUUAUAAGUGAGGAAUAUGACGGUAACUUAUGAAUAAGGAUCGGCUAACUACGUGCCAGCAGCCGCGGUCAUACGUAGGAUCCGAGCGUUAUCCGGAGUGACUGGGCGUAAAGAGUUGCGUAGGCGGUUAGUUAAGCGAAUAGUGAAACCUGGUGGCUCAACCAUACAGACUAUUAUUCGAACUGGCUAACUCGAGAAUGGUAGAGGUAACUGGAAUUUCUCAAGUAGGGG